ACGGGAGGCAGCAGUGGGGAAUAUUGGACAAUGGGGGAAACCCUGAUCCAGCGACGCCGCGUGAGUGAAGAAGUAUUUCGGUAUGUAAAGCUCUAUCAGCAGGGUAGAUAAUGACGGUACCUGACUAAGAAGCCCCGGCUAACUUCGUGCCAGCAGCCGCGGUAAUACGUAGGGGGCAAGCGUUAUCCGGAUUUACUGGGUGUAAAGGGAGCGUAGACGGCAUGGCAAGUCUGAUGUGAAAACCCGGGGCUCAACCCCGGGACUUCAGUGGAAACUGUCAGGCUAGAUUGCAGGAGAGGUAAGUGGAAUUCCUAGUGUAGCGGUGAAAUGCGUAGAUAUUAGGAGGAACACCAGUGGCGAAGGCGGCUUACUGGACUGUAACUGACGUUGAGGCUCGAAAGCGUGGGGAGCAAACAGGAUUAGAUACCCUGGUA
rnacentral:rRNA from 1 species